rnacentral:misc_RNA from 1 species
ACACCUCAACUCUUGUGGUUUCCCACAAUGAGCUUGGACUGUGGAGGUUUUGUUGGCCCUGUGGUCAGCUCCUCUCAAAUGGAUCAGCUUACCGGUGUUUGGUGGCAUUACGGGUGUGAUAACUAUCUACGCUCGUGGUCGUCUCCAAAUAACCUCCAGUGAUGGAGGUUCGCUGGAGCUCACAAAUGUCUUUCCUCAGUGAAGACAGCUCUUUGAUU